UACGGAGGGAGCUAGCGUUGUUCGGAUAUACUGGGCGUAAAGCGCACGUAGGCGGCGUCGUAAGUCAGGGGUGAAAUCCCGGAGCUCAACUCCGGAACUGCCCUUGAAACUGCAAUGCUAGAAUCUUGGAGAGGCGAGUGGAAUUCCGAGUGUAGAGGUGAAAUUCGUAGAUAUUCGGAGGAACACCAGUGGCGAAGGCGGCUCACUGGCUCGGUACUGACGCUGAGGUGCGAAAGCGUGGGGAGCAAACGGG
rnacentral:rRNA from 1 species